UUGGAUCCAGACUUUGAUUAUGGCUCAGGAUGAGCGCUGGCGGCGUGCCUAACACAUGCAAGUCGAGCGACUCUCUUCGGAGAAGAGCGGCGGACGGGUGAGUAACGCGUGGGUAACCUGCCCUGUACACACGGAUAACAUACCGAAAGGUAUGCUAAUACGGGAUAACAUAAGAAAUUCGCAUGUUUUUCUUAUCAAAGCUCCGGCGGUACAGGAUGGACCCGCGUCUGAUUAGCUAGUUGGUGAGGUAAUGGCUCACCAAGGCGACGAUCAGUAGCCGACCUGAGAGGGUGAUCGGCCACAUUGGAACUGAGACACGGUCCAAACUCCUACGGGAGGCAGCAGUGGGGAAUAUUGCGCAAUGGGCGAAAGCCUGAUGCAGCAACGCCGCGUGAGCGAUGAAGGCCUUCGGGUCGUAAAGCUCUGUCCUCGAGGAAGAUAAUGACGGUACUUGAGGAGGAAGCCCCGGCUAACUACGUGCCAGCAGCCGCGGUAAUACGUAGGGGGCUAGCGUUAUCCGGAUUUACUGGGCGUAAAGGGUGCGUAGGCGGUCUUUUAAGUCAGGAGUGAAAGGCUACGGCUCAACCGUAGUAAGCUCUUGAAACUGGAGGACUUGAGUGCAGGAGAGGAGAGUGGAAUUCCUAGUGUAGCGGUGAAAUGCGUAGAUAUUAGGAGGAACACCAGUAGCGAAGGCGGCUCUCUGGACUGUAACUGACGCUGAGGCACGAAAGCGUGGGGAGCAAACAGGAUUAGAUACCCUGGUAGUCCACGCCGUAAACGAUGAGUACUAGCUGUCGGAGGUUACCCCCUUCGGUGGCGCAGCUAACGCAUUAAGUACUCCGCCUGGGGAGUACGCUCGCAAGAGUGCAACUCAAAGGAAUUGACGGA
rnacentral:rRNA from 2 species